UGACUUCCAAAAAAAAAAUUAAAAAUUAAAAAAUAAACAGAUCUAUAAAUAUAAACAAUGAACCAAUUUAUUUUAUUUUUAUUUAAUUUUUUACUUUUAUACUUUUCGCUUCAUUCAUUUUUUCAUUUUCUUACUCUACACUUUCUAUUCACAUAUCUUUCUCUCCUCUCUUACUCCUUCAUUCACAAACACCACUUCAAACAAAUGCAACAUUUAUUCAUUAUGCAAACUGGGAUUAUAACCUACUAUCUAGUUAGUUAACAAUAUUUUUUUAAACGACCCAUUCCAUUUUGAUCGAAUGAGCAAAUGCAACAAUAAACAAUUUAAUAAUAAAGGGAACAACGAAGGAAACUGCAACUACUUCCUACGCAUAAAUAGGAAGCUCGUGCAAAGCAAAGCAACAAGGUGCUAUUGCUAUUAAAUAGCAAAUGUAAAAAGUUGAGGUGGCUUUUCGGCGGAAAUCCAAUUUUAUCUGGACUUAAAAUCUAAGUGUCUUCAUAUUGGGACUUGAAAUCCUCUAUCUAGUGUGCUUGAUUCAUAAAGCCAUCAAGAAUUGAAUUCCCUCACUAGUUUCAUAAGCCAACCGGAUUGGUGACUUGUUGAGGAUAAUUCUCACUCUCUGUAGAGUGUGUUGAAGCAUACGAGUUGGGAGCAUGCUCAACGUAUUCAUGUAACUUAGAAGUAGGUCCACGCUCCUUUUCUGAGUCGCUUUGCUUAAUAUCUUCCCGAUCACGCUGGUAAGCACCAGUGUUCCAGGGCUUAAUAUUCGACAAAUAAAGUUGGUUAAUCUCUUCCAAGGUAAGACCUUUGGUUUCCUUGGCGAAUAGGAAAAUAAUAAUAGCGGCACACAAGUUGCAAGCUGCAAACACAUAACCAUACUUGAAACCAAUUGAGUUGCUAAUAAAGGGAGUGAAGAAGGAAAUCAUAAAGUUCCAGAACCAGUUGCUAGCAGUAGCGACGGCAGCACACUUGGAACGAUAACGAAUGGGAUACGAUUCACCAACGAUAACGUAUGCGGCAGGAGCCCAAGUUUGAGCAAAACUGAAAAUGAAAAGACAUGAGAACACAAUCAUAACGGCACCAGCACGAUGAUUCGAAGUACCAUUGGGGCGGGUAAGUGCACGAUCACCUACAGAAGCAUAAAUAAAGAAACAAAUAGAUUGCCAAACACCACCAACGAUGAGGGGACCACGACGACCAAAGUAUUCAAGAACAAAGAUAGCACCAAACGUACAUCCAAAGUUGACAGCAUCAAGAAUCAAAGCUGCGAGGAAGGGGGAGUUCAAGCCAGUACCGCGGAAUACCUGAGUACCAUAGUAGAAGAAGUAAUUGUUACCGGUCAAUUGUUGGAAUGCCAUGACACCCAUUCCCAAAAGUGUUCUGUAACGAAUUUCGUUGCUAAAGAUCUGAGGCCAGGAGCAAGGACCACCAGCCAAUUCUGCCUCAACGUCAGCUUGAAUGGCAUUGUAUUCUUUUUGCAUGAUGGGAUGAUCGGCUGGGAGGCCAGCAUUACGAGUAAGAAUUUUCAUACAUUCUUCAUUUCUUCCUUUAACUGCAAGGUAACGUGGGGAUUCAGGGAGGAAAAGCAUUCCAAAGAACAUGAGAAUACCCCAAAGUAAGUUAAUACCGAUGGGAACACGCCAUUGAGCUUCAGGAUGAGUGGUGUAUUUGUGAGUACCCAUGUUGAUACAGGCGGCAAUAAAAAUACCAAGAGUAAUGAACAAUUGAUAAGUAGUUACAAUGGCACCACGAAUAUGGGGGGGAGAAGAUUCGGAUUGGUAACCAGGAGCAAUGACUGACAAAGCACCAAUGCCAAGACCAGUCCAAAUUUUAGCUACCAUCAUUUGAACCCAAGAUGGAAUUGUGGUGAGUUGAACGAUAACACCGGUAAUGUAAACCAAUGUCCAUCCCAUGAUACACUUACGUUUACCGAAUCGAUCUCCAAGAGGUGAAGAAAGUAAACAUCCAACAGUAGUUCCAGUGUUAACCAUACCAACCAAAAGACCUUGGCGAGCAGAAGAAUACGAAUACGUAUCUGUGACAGGAUCAUACCUGUCUGCGUAUCGAGAUUGAAAGUCCCGCAUAUUAGUGAUACCACCAAUGGAACCCGUGUCAGCACCGAACAUCCAUCCGGCCAUGGACACGAAGACCAACAUGACAAUGGUUAAGAUUUUCGCCAUUGUUCUUAAUAAAUGCUAGUUUUUUUAAAAAGAAAAAGUAAUGACCAAAUGAGAAAAUUCUUUAGUCCUGAUUAAGUAAAAGAAAAAAAAGAAAAUUUCC
rnacentral:lncRNA from 1 species